rnacentral:rRNA from 1 species
AGGUUUUCGGAUCGUAAAACUCUGUUGUAAGGGAAGAACAAGUACAGUAGUAACUGGCUGUACCUUGACGGUACCUUAUUAGAAAGCCACGGCUAACUACGUGCCAGCAGCCGCGGAAAUACGUAGGUGGCAAGCGUUGUCCGGAAUUAUUGGGCG